AAAUGAAGCUUUUUUUAAACACUUUAAAUAAGUUGUAAUGAGUUUUCCCCGAAAUGUGCUUCAUUUUUGGCUAUUUCACGUUAAAGUAUUCCAUUUGGAAUUUGACGAAUAUGAACCUAUUUUUAAUUAGCUAUAACUCUGCUUCUACUAGGUAUAGAAACGUAGUACAGAAACUCUUUAUUGAUUUUCAGUUUUCAUUAAAAGAAAAUUGAUUUGUUUUUUCGUUCUAGGAUUGGGAGUAUAGACAGGCUAGACAAAGGCAACAACUUUCAAAAGGAUAAUUACGAAGUACAGCAACAUUGAAGAUAACAUUAAUGUCGUUAGGUACUUGGAAUUACAGAGAAGUGAUAAUAGACUAAUCAUCAUCAGCCUCUCUCGAUCCACUGCUGGACAUAGGCCUCUCAUGUUUGUCUCCAAAGAGAGUCAAGUAGACUAAUAGAAUAACAGGUAUAGUGUAAAUACAUGUAAGUAGAUAGGUUAACACCUUGGCUACCGUGUGAGAUGCCAGCAUCUCACACCAAAUAUGACUGUAGUACCGUGUGAGACGCCGGCUUCCAUUAUUAUUAAAUGAUUUAAAAUGCUCUAAGGAGAGAGUUUUUAGUUUCUCAUAUUGGUUUCAAAAUAAGAUAAUGAAAUUAUAGUUACUUACCAUGGUUUUCGAAAAAGUGUAAUAUAACUUGCAUAUUAGAUAUUCAAAGUAAAAUGUGAUGAUAAAAUUGUACAAAAUUACAAGUUAUUAGUUUAAGUGAUCGCUAGCCAAGGUGUUAAACGUUAAUAAAGGUAUGGUAGUUAUAUUGUAUGUAGGUACAGUUGAGUCCAUGGUUCUUUACCCGUGGUUCAUUAAUACCUGGAGAGAUAAAACACAUACUUUUUAUUUAGCACAAUUGUGUUCCACGCAUGACACUAAAGACAAACCAGCUACCGCCUGUUAUUAAGUAAAGACACGUUAUUUUUAUGAACAUUCUACUCAGUACAUCGAAAACAUAGAGGUGCAAAAAAUACGCUUGGGGCGUUUUCAGAUUUAAGUACAAUUUGCAACGUUUGUGGUUUGUUUAUUGUUUGUUUUUUCACAACUAAUUUUAUUUUAUCAUUAAUUUACAUACAAAGUUCACAUCAUUCACACAGAUUGUCAUAACCACUUUCUGCCAAUGGACUCAACUGUAAAAUUAGUUUAUCAUUUUAUAGUGUAAAUACAAAUAAAAAAACUAGUAUUGUGACAAGAUAGUGUUUUGUAAGUAGGUAGGUUAAAUAUCAAUAAAGGUUCUGUUUAGUUACAAUUUAUAGUGGUUAUAUUGUAUGUAGGUAAUAUUAGUUGAUCAUUUUGCAAUGUCAAAUUCUAAAUCCAAACCCGGUAAAUAUGUUCACGGAUGUUUAGCGCCCUAUUGUAAUAACAAAUAUUUUCAUCCUGUCACAGACCCAGAGUAUACAAAUAAAAAGUUUUUUAGAUUUUCAGAUAAAAAUUUAAAAAGACGUCAUGACUGGUUUGAAAUUAUUGGUAUUGAAUUUACUGAAACUAGGUGUUAUUUAUGUGAAGAUCAUUUUGAGGAAACACAAUUUACAAUCAGUUUAAAAACAAAACUAUUGAAUAAUGCAGUGCCCUCCAAAAUAAUUCACGAUCAACUUUUGCCUAUACCUGCACAUUCUUCUAAUAAAAUCUCUGUUUCAAAUGUACACAUUUUUAGUAGCAAAGAAAUAGUUCCUUCAAUAAGUAGAAUGUAAAUUUAUAGCUUUUAUCCCUAAAUCUCACACCUCCUAGUUUCAUUUGUUUUUAUCUCAUGACUUGAAUGUGUUUUCCAUCUUUUGCGUUAUUUUGCCUGUUAUUAGCACGUUCAUCACUGUAUAACUCACAUAUAGUAUUUUUACUACAAAAAUGUUAUUAUGUAGGUCAAAAUUUUUGACGUAAGAGAACUGUCAAAACAUUAGAAUGUGACUUUUCUUUAUUGCCAUGUUUAUUAAUAAACAUGGCAAUAAUGAAAAGUCACAUUCUAAUGUUUUGACAGUUCUCUUACGUCAAAAAUUUUGACCUACGUAAUAACGUUUUUGUAGUAAAAAUACUAUAGUAUAGUAGUCCCCAGUACAAGGACCUAAAAUCUCACUGAUAUAUGAGGCGCUCAGAGCAACAGUGGCCUAACCCACAUCCCACAAUUUUACCAAAACGCUUUUAUUACAUUAAAAUUAUGCAUUACUAAUUAUUUUCAAAUGCAGAUUGGCUCAAGCAACCAUUGCUUGAACUACUCUGCAUCUGAAAACACUUAAAUAAGGGAUAAAUUUAAUGUAAUAAAAUCGUUUUGGUAAAAUUGUGGGAUGUGGGUUAGGCCACUGUUGCUCUGAGCGCCUCAUAUAUGAGGCAUUGCGGAUAGUAAAGGGGAACUCAACAAAAGCGUUUCAAGAAAUGUGGGUUUAAAAAUGCAGGUAGUAAGGGCGAACUCAACAAAAAGAAGUUUUGAAGGUAUAUUUUGAAGGCGAAACUUCAAAUGAGGUAGGAAAUUUAAUUUAAAAUGGUAUCAAAAAAAAUUUUUUUGACCCAAUGUUGAGUUCGCCCUUACUAUCAGCAACGGCUCAUAUCUGGACCUCGGAGGUAAACUACACUAUGUCGACAUGGUGUUUUUUUGAACAAGUUUUUUAAUCCACUUGUUUUACUAGUUGGAUUAUAGAAAUUGAUUAUAUACAUUCAAAUAUAGAUAUAUUGUCUAUCAUAUAGUUUAAAUCUGAGGUCCAGAUAUAUGUUUCAAGCUUUGUGUAUGCAUUCCUUGCGACAUGUACGUACAAUAAACUUUUCCUCUGUGACCAUAAUUAUAUUUAUAUAAACCAAACUUGUAUUGAGAGACAUAAUAACGUAAAAGUGACAUCUUUGAGAUCUAAGCGUUCAAAAACAUAGCAACUUUGAAAGAUAUCCCAGAGGAAAAGUUUGUCUGACAUGUCGCAGGGAAUACAAACACAAAGUUUAAAACUUAAAUGUAUCAAUGAAAUUUUAGGUCCUUGUACUGGAGACUAUAGUGUAAAGUUAAACAAUUUUUAAUGGCAAACAUUUUGAUUUUUCUUAUAAACAUUUAUUUAAAUUGCAGGUUUGUUCGAUUUGUUUAUCACCUAAAAAUAUUUUACUUAUUUAUUGUAAGUUGAUAUUUUAAAGGUUUUUAUUUCAGCUUUAGUAAAGUUCUCUGUGUAUUAUAUAAUUUUUUUCUUUAGAUAUUUUUGGCUACUAAUCAAAUUUGUAAUAUGUAUCUGCAUUUUGUAAAAUACAUAUAAGAUAAAUAAAGAAGAGUGGGGACAUGCAUGUAUUUUGUGUUGAUCUGCGUUUUAAAUCAUUAUUUCAAAACAAUUUUACUGCAUAGAUUUUCUUAUUUUGUUUUAUCAGCACUCCAUACAUGCAUGCGGUAAGCGGGGGGUCCCCGUGAGCAGAGGCUAUUUUACUUCAAAUCAGGCCCGAGGCACUACACAAUUUUCGGGCCCCUAAAUAUAAUUUAAUAAUAAUAUCUUUUUUAAAUGUAUUAAUUAUUUAAUAGUUGGACAAGAAAAUAAAAUUUUUAUUAACAAUAAAUAAAAUUUAUAUUUAAACAAUUAAACAUUGUUUAAGGGGAUAGGCGCAAACUUUCGGCUUCAAUGCUAUUUAAAAGCAUUCGUCUUUUUCGAAGCCUGAGAAAACUAAUAAGUAUUUUUGAAAAAAUUAAACGCAGAAUGAAAGAUUACGUUACUACCGAGGGCCGAAAGUCACUGAAAUUUCGAUAAUGUUUAUUUUAAUAAGUUACAGGGUCAAAAAAAGAGAAAAUUGAGUGUGAUUUUUAAUUUUAAAUACAUAUCUUAUUCAAAAGAAACUUUAUAUUUAUUCUAAGGGACAUUCGGCCCUCGGUAAUAAUGUAAUCUUUCAUUCUGCGUCUAAAUUUUUUAAAAAUAAUUAUUAGUUUUUUGAGGAUUCGAAAAUAUGAAUGCAUUUAAAGAGCAUUGAACCGAAAGUUUGCGCCUAUCCACUUAAUUAUAACUCUUAUGGUUGUCAUUUAUUCGUAAAAUGAAAGAAUUUUGAAAAUUUGUUUUGUUAUUGUUAUAAAUUAAAGUUUGGUGAUCUUUCCGGGCCCCAUUCAAAUACGGUCCCGAGGCAGGUGCUUCAGGGGGCUAGGCCCUACCCUUGAGGAUUAAUAAAAAUAAAAUGUAUGUACAUAGUUUUUUUCCCAGUGUUUAUAUUAUUUUCUAUUUUUCUGAAAAGUUCUGAGAGAAAUAUGGAAUAACUGAUUUACUGUAAGAGUUGAUAUUUUAAAGGCUUUUAUUUUAGUUUUAGUAAAGUUCUCUGUGUGCUGUAUAAUAUUUUUCUUUAGAUAUUUUUAGGCUACUAAUCAAAAUAGUAAUAUCUGCAUUUUGUAAAAUAUGAGAUAAAUAAAGAGGUCUUCGUAAAGAUUAAUAAAAAUAAAA
rnacentral:lncRNA from 1 species